rnacentral:rRNA from 1 species
UAGGGAAUCUUCGGCAAUGGGGGGAACCCUGACCGAGCAACGCCGCGUGAGUGAAGAAGGUUUUCGGAUCGUAAAGCUCUGUUGUUAAGGAAGAACGAGUGUGAGAAUGGAAAGUUCAUACUGUGACGGUAUCUAACCAGAAAGCCACGGCUAACUACGUGCCAGCAGCCGCGGUAAUACGUAGGUGGCAAGCGUUGUCCGGAUUUAUUGAGCGUAAAGCGAGCGCAGGCGGUCAAUUAAGUCUGAUGUGAAAGCCCCCGGCUCAACCGGGGAGGGUCAUUGGAAACUGGUUGACUUGAGUGCAGAAGAGGAGAGUGGAAUUCCAUGUGUAGCGGUGAAAUGCGUAGAUAUAUGGAGGAACACCAGUGGCGAAGGCGACUCUCUGGUCUGUAACUGACGCUGAGGCUCGAAAGCGUGGGUAGCAAACAGG